AUUCAAAUAGCUUAUAGUAGAGCAUAAUAUUGAAGAUAUUAAGGAAGUUUUAUACUUUUGGAUA
rnacentral:tRNA from 1 species